CAAGAUCAUCAUUAGGACCAUCAUACUUGCCAACCAUCGAUGAACUGAACAGUCCAACCAAUUGGGAGAUAAUCAAUAAAUUCCUUUUCAGGAGCAAUUCAUCCUUCCUGAACAUAGCAUACAACUCUCCAGAAAGGGGCAUUGGAAUGGUCUUAGCUCUUGAAUAUUCAUAAAAUAAAAAUAAAACUUUCGAAUUGUAUCUCUUCGAAAUCAAUAGUGAAGUUAAAGAAAUAAAUCAACUAAUCGUUUGAAUCCUUGUUUCAAAGUCUCUAAAUUAUAUGCCCUUUGGCUGAAUCAUAACAACU